rnacentral:rRNA from 1 species
GACGAACGCUGGCGGCGUGCCUAAUACAUGCAAGUCGAACGCAGUGGGGACGGUUUAGUAACACGUGGGUAACCUCCCAUCAGAGGGGAUAACCCUUGGAAACAGGUGCUAAACCGCUACUGAUGGAUGGACCCGCUGGGCAUUAGCUAGGUGGUGGGGUAACGGCUCACCAAGGCCACGAUGCAUAGCCGGUCUGAGAGGGUGACCGGCCACACUGGGACUGAGACACGGCCCAGACUCCUACGGGAGGCAGCAGUAGGGAAUCUUCGGCAAUGGACGAAAGUCUGACAGAGCAACGCCGCGUGAGUGAAGAAGGUUUUCGGAUCGUAAAACUCUGUUGUGAGAGAAGCGGUAUCUAACCAGAAAGCCACGGCUAACUACGUGCCAGCAGCCGCGGUAAUUC